CAUGCUCUCCAUCUCCAGCACCUGAAGAGAUGCAGCCGCCGCCGCUGCCGCCGCCGCUGCAACAGCCGCUGCCGCCAUCUUGACGCCGCCGCGCCCGAGCUCCGCAGUCUCGGAACGACGCCGCCGUUCUGGUGCGACACAGAGGGAUUCUGGGAUUAAAUAGUGCGCGCGGGGCGGAGCCGGGCCUCCCGCCGGCCGCGCGCCGCGCCUCCCGCAAUCCGCCCAGCCUUGAUGGGGUUUGACUGCAAUCCUCUCUCCCAGUGGUGACGACUUCGCCCGGGGCCUCCCACCUGGGCUUGGUGGGAGGAUGGAUGCUCUCGGCAGUCACUUUGUAAAGUAAAAGCCACCUUAGACCACCACACGUGGUUAAAGCCUUGAUAUACAGAAAAAAUAUAGGAUUUUUAUUUUAAAUGGCUUUGGAGUAAACAUUUUAGAAGAUAAAAAGACCAAGCCCCGGCUAAGUGGAUGAGGAUGAAAGGAAACAACAAAAACAAGCCAGUGUUACAAAGAAGAAAAUGGCCGUGAUGCUUACCGAGUGAAAGACCCACAGUGUCUAAGCAUGUCUACAAAUGCAACUCCAAUGAAACCAUCUACGUUGAGGAUAAGAUUUGGUUUCUGGAAAGGCAAAAAAAUUCAAAGCUUGGUUUGAUAUUAUCACUCUUCCUGCUCCAGUGACAUCAGGCUUAACCCUUUGACUUGGUUGGCCAAUGAAAUGUGAGCACAAGUGAACCCCAUAACUCCAGGCAGAAGCUUUAAGAACCUUCCUGUGGUCUUACCAUUGCUCUUUUCGUGCCGACAUGAGGCAGGCACAUCCCACAUAGAGGUUGCUCGUUCAGCAAAGACGUUUGUAGCGUGACUAAGAAAUAAACCUUUCUAUUGUAA